rnacentral:rRNA from 1 species
UACGUAGGGCGCAAGCGUUGUCCGGAAUUAUUGGGCGUAAAGAGCUCGUAGGCGGUCUGUCGCGUCUGCCGUGAAAACCCGAGGCUUAACCUCGGGCCUGCGGUGGAUACGGGCAGACUAGAGGUAGGUAGGGGAGAAUGGAAUUCCCGGUGUAGCGGUGAAAUGCGCAGAUAUCGGGAGGAACACCGGUGGCGAAGGCGGUCCUCUGGGCCUUACCUGACGCUGAGGAGCGAAAGCGUGGGGAGCGAACAGG